rnacentral:rRNA from 1 species
GAUGAACGCUAGCUACAGGCUUAACACAUGCAAGUCGAGGGGCAGCAUGGUCUUAGCUUGCUAAGGCCGAUGGCGACCGGCGCACGGGUGAGUAACACGUAUCCAACCUGCCGUCUACUCUUGGACAGCCUUCUGAAAGGAAGAUUAAUACAAGAUGGCAUCAUGAGUCCGCAUGUUCACAUGAUUAAAGGUAUUCCGGUAGACGAUGGGGAUGCGUUCCAUUAGAUAGUAGGCGGGGUAACGGCCCACCUAGUCUUCGAUGGAUAGGGGUUCUGAGAGGAAGGUCCCCCACAUUGGAACUGAGACACGGUCCAAACUCCUACGGGAGGCAGCAGUGAGGAAUAUUGGUCAAUGGGCGAGAGCCUGAACUAGCAAUGCCGCGUGAGUGAGGGAGGUCUUC